rnacentral:rRNA from 1 species
AAAGCGUGCGCAGGCGGUUAUGCAAGACAGAGGUGAAAUCCCCGGGCUCAACCUGGGAACUGCCUUUGUGACUGCAUAGCUAGAGUACGGUAGAGGGGGAUGGAAUUCCGCGUGUAGCAGUGAAAUGCGUAGAUAUGCGGAGGAACACCGAUGGCGAAGGCAAUCCCCUGGACCUGUACUGACGCUCAUGCACGAAAGCGUGGGGAGCAAACAGGAUUAGAUACCCUUGU